UCCGGUGCGCCCCCGGCGGCCC
rnacentral:snRNA from 1 species